CGGCGCGGCGGCGAGUGCGCGCUGCGGUACACUACUGCUCGCUGGUCGGUCUGCGCGCCAGUGACCAGCCGACUGGGGGCGGGCUGGCGGCUCUGCCUGCGGCACCGCAUCGGUUUUUCUCCUGCCGGGUCUCUAGUUGAGCCGGGAUUCCCUUGGAGCCAGAGAGACGCACCAGGGGCUCCGAGCGCAGCGCUCCGGGGCUGGAGGCAGCUGCGGCGCUCGGGUCCGCGCGGCCGGGUGCAGUAGCCUCAGUCCCCGCCGCCGCCUUGCUUAGUCGUGUGCCCUGGCGAAUGCCCGGCGCCCGGCACAGCUGAGCCAACGCGACUGGUGCAGAGCGGCGGCGCCUCGUCCUGCACUUGCCGCUGCCGCCGGGCUGUGCCGGGGCGGCGGCGCUGCGCGCCCGAGUUUGCAGAGGCUGCCUCCGAGCGCUGUCCCCCAAGAAGACUCCCUGCCUCCUGAGUCCCAAAAACACGAGGUUGUUCUCCUAUUUCAGCAGUUGGCCGCAACUUCAUUGCUGGGAAACGGUGAUUUCAAAGCCAAGAAAGAAGAGAGAACUCUCACCACGACAUUUCAAAGGGAAUACAUUGCCAGAAUUUGGAAUACUCUUCGGGACAAACAUUUCCUCCAAGCAUGCAGCUCUCUGCCCCCAUGUCGCCACCUCUGAAGGACUGACUGAUUCCCUCGGCUGG
rnacentral:lncRNA from 1 species